GACGAACGCUGGCGGCGUGCUUAACACAUGCAAGUCGAACGGAAAGGCCCUGCUUUUGUGGGGUGCUCGAGUGGCGAACGGGUGAGUAACACGUGAGUAACCUGCCCUUGACUUUGGGAUAACUUCAGGAAACUGGGGCUAAUACCGGAUAGGAGCUCCUGCUGCAUGGUGGGGGUUGAAAAGUUUCGGCGGUUGGGGAUGGACUCGCGGCUUAUCAGCUUGUUGGUGGGGUAGUGGCUUACCAAGGCGUUGACGGGUAGCCGGCCUGAGAGGGUGACCGGCCACAUUGGGACUGAGAUACGGCCCAGACUCCUACGGGAGGCAGCAGUGGGGAAUAUUGCACAAUGGGCGGAAGCCUGAUGCAGCAACGCCGCGUGCGGGAUGACGGCCUUCGGGUUGUAAACCGCUUUCGCCUGUGACGAAGCGUGAGUGACGGUAAUGGGUAAAGAAGCACCGGCUAACUACGUG
rnacentral:rRNA from 1 species